UACGUAGGGGGCUAGCGUUGUCCGGAUUUAUUGGGCGUAAAGAGCGUGUAGGCGGCUUGGCAAGUCUGCUGUGAAAACUCGAGGCUCAACCUCGAGCUGUCGGUGGAAACUGCUUGGCUAGAGUCCGGAAGAGGAGAGUGGAAUUCCUGGUGUAGCGGUGAAAUGCGCAGAUAUCAGGAAGAACACCGGUGGCGAAAGCGCUCUGCUAGGCCGCAACUGACACUGAGGGACGAAAGCUAGGGGAGCGAAUGGG
rnacentral:rRNA from 1 species